AAACGUUGCACUCUGAGCUUUGUAUUUGCUUAGACUAAAUAGAUAAAUCUAGCUUAAUUCUAGUUUUAUUAGUUGCUAGUGGGUAUAAUUAGUUGCUUGUGUACAACAUUGUUUCGCAACCGGUAACCUAAACUUAUUCCGCAACCUAUUGUCCACUCGCCAUACAUGCUACUCUAUGAACUAGGUGAGGUGAAGUAAUCGGACUUACGACUACCGUUUAUUUACUUGAACUGUGUUAAACUACGUGGAAUUGUACAAAGGGAACUAAACGUAAGUUUUUAUAAACUAUAUGUACAUUUAGGCAUUAAAAUUAAUCGAGAACGAUGCUCUAUACAUGUAUAUGUUCACGAAAUAAUAAUUAUUCAGAAUCAAGGCAACUUAAAUCUAUACGAUUGCCAGAAUUACUUUAUGAAACCUAUUUGAAUUUAACUGAAUAUGUUAUGUUUAUGUGACAGGAAAUUAUAUUCUCGCUAUCACCGGAUUAUACGUGUUUCAUUUCGCUUCCGGCCGAGAAUCA